rnacentral:tRNA from 1 species
GGAGAGGUGCCGGAGCGGUCGAACGGGGCGGUCUCGAAAACCGUUGUGCUAGCAAUAGUACCCAGGGUUCGAAUCCCUGUCUCUCCGCCA